CAAUAGCGUAUAUUAAAGUUGUUGCAGUUAAAAAGCUCGCAGUUGGAUUUCUGGUUGAAGCGACCGGUCGGGCGUUGAUUCGUCUGCACUGGAGUCGGUUUUGGCCAUCCUCUAGGAAAGUGCGUCUGGUAUUAAGUUAUCGGGCGUAUGAUCCUGGUCUUUUACUGUGAAAAAAUUAGAGUGUUUAAAGCAGGCCUUCGCCUUGAAUACAUUAGCAUGGAAUAAUAAGAUAGGACUUUGGUCUAUUUUGUUGGUUUGCAGACCGAAGUAAUGAUUAAUAGGGAUAGUUGGGGGUAUUUAUAUUCCGAUGUCAGAGGUGAAAUUCUUAGAUUUUCGGAAGAUAAACUUAUGCGAAAGCAUUUACCAAGGAUGUUUNCAUUAA
rnacentral:rRNA from 1 species